CAAUAGCGUAUAUUAAAGCUGUUGCGGUUAAAAAGCUCGUAGUUGGAUUUCUGUCAAGGACAACUGGUCCGCCCCUCGGGUGAGCACAUAGUUUGGUCUUGGCAUCUUGUUGGAAACUGUUGCUGCACUUGGUUGUGUGGCGCAGUGUCCAGCACUUUCACUUUGAGGAAAUUGGAGUGUUUCAAGCAGGCACAUGCCUUUGGACACAGUAGCAUGGAAUAAUUAGAUUGGGCUUUUGCUCCAACUUGUCGGUUUCUGGAGCUGAGGUGAGAAUUAAUGGGGAUUGUUGGGGGCAUCCGAAUUUCGCCGUCAGAGGUGAAAUUCUUGGAUCUGCUAAAGACGGACAACUGCGAAAGCGUUUGCCCAGGAUGUUUUCAUUGA
rnacentral:rRNA from 1 species